AUCUAAAUAGCUUAUUAGAGCGUAAUAUUGAAGAUAUUAAGGAAAUUAUUUAAUUUUUAGGUA
rnacentral:tRNA from 1 species